UACGAAGGGGGGCUAGCGUUGUUCGGAAUUAUUGGGCGUAAAGGGUGCGUAGGCGGUUUGGUAAGUCUUGUGUGAAAUCUACAGGCUCAACUUGUAGUCUGCACGAGAAACUGCCGGGCUUGAGUAUGGGAGAGGUGAGUGGAAUUCCUGGUGUAGCGGUGAAAUGCGUAGAUAUCAGGAGGAACACCUGUGGCGAAAGCGGCUCACUGGACCAUAACUGACGCUGAUGCACGAAAGCUAGGGGAGCAAACAGG
rnacentral:rRNA from 1 species